UUUUGUCUAUGCUCCUACAUUUUUUAACUUAUGCGCACAAGUGCUCCUGGAAAAUUUUUUUAGUGUAGUGCCCAGUAAAACCCUUUUUCCAAAAAUGUUGGGACACUGUCAGAGGUGUCAUGCCCAUUGAAGUCACGUACCCCCCACAUCAUUUUUUGACUUUGUUGGCUCCAUAAUAAGCCAUAGCCUAUAACGACUCAAAUAUAAGAACGGUCAGCAACAGCCUUUUCUACUUUUUCUACUUUGCAGAAGAAGAUGCUGAUAUUGUCAUCCCAAAUGAGUGUCUGGCAAAGGACAGUUUUCUGCAGACGGGUUCAGGGAUUGGAAGACUGCUUUGGAGACAGGGACUUUGACCGACAUGACGCAGGCCAACACCACAAGCAACUAUCAAAAGCGUACUUGAUAAAUGAUCCAGAUGAUGCACAGCUGUUGGCACAGACAGCCUAACAAAUUGAGCUUAAAACAAAAGAAAGGGAGAGCCGAUUCCAGGCAGUAUUCAGCCUUGUAGACAUGGCAUCUACACUCGCCAGAUUGAGAUUGCCCUUUCGAGGCCAUGAUGAAUCUGAAACGUCAAAAACAAAGGUGUUUUCCGAGAAAUAACCGGAUUAGUGGGAAGAUAUGAUGAAGUUCUUCAUACCCACAUCGAAUUGUAGGGAUGGCCCGAUACCAAUACUGGGGAUCGGGCCGAUACCGUCCUCAUAUACUCGUAAAAAAUUGAACAAACUAUCGAUCGGCAAUCUUCCGAUGUGGAAGAACAACCCCUCUACAGCAACGCUACUCUACUCGACCCCAGCUGCAAUAUGCCAAGGAGUUGCUGAUGCGUGAGCUGUUGAAGUCGUCUGGAGAAGAGGAGGAUCCUGACCUGCACGAACCUCCUGCCAGAAAACCCUGCAGGGACCAGGCAAGCAGUAGCCUGGACAGUAUAUAUCUGAUGAAGUAACAGAUGAGCAAGCACCAGUCUUGCUACACAGAGCUCAAUGAUUGCCUGACAAGAAGCACAAGCUUCUUGGAAGAACAAGCUUCUUGGAUACCUCUCAGCACCAUGCAGUGGUGUUGACAGUGAAAGGCUGUUCAGCUCAGUGUCACAUAUUGUGAAUGAAAGCAGAAACAGAAUCACAGCUGGUCAUGCAGAGAUGAUUUUGUUCAUCAAAAAGAACCUGCCUCUCAUUCUCCCAAAAAGUACUUAAGCUAGUUCAGAUCACAUUGCUGACUGAAAUGUUUGUUUAACUGAAACAUGGGAACGGUCACCGUGCCGAAUAGUUUAAUUGUUGUUUAAUUGAAAUAUGCAGUAGUUCCAUUGAUGUUUUGUUUAAUUGAAAUAUGUAAAUGUUUAAUUGAGACUAUGCAACAGUUACAUUGAUAUUUUGUUAAAUUGAAAGCUGG